rnacentral:rRNA from 1 species
CUACGGGUCGCAGCAGUGAGGAAUAUUGCACAAUGGGGGGAACCCUGAUGCAGCAACGCCGCGUGGAGGAUGACGCAUUUCGGUGUGUAAACUCCUUUUAUAUGUCAAGAAAAUGACGGUAGCAUAUGAAUAAGCACCGGCUAACUCCGUGCCAGCAGCCGCGGUAAUACGGAGGGUGCAAGCGUUACUCGGAAUCACUGGGCGUAAAGGACGCGUAGGCGGGUUGGAAAGUCAGGUGUGAAAUCCUACAGCUUAACUGUAGAACUGCACUUGAAACUUCUAAUCUAGAGUAUGGGAGGGGGAGACGGGAUUAGUGGUGUAGGGGUAAAAUCCGUAGAUAUCACUAGGAAUACCUAAAGCGAAGGCGAUCUCCUGGAACAUUACUGACGCUAAGGCGUGAAAGCGUGGGGAGCAAACAGGAUUAGAUACCCUCGUAGUC